GACGAACGCUGGCGGCGUGCUUAACACAUGCAAGUCGAACGGCAAGGCCCUGCUUUUGUGGGGUGCUCGAGUGGCGAACGGGUGAGUAACACGUGAGUAACCUGCCCUUGACUUUGGGAUAACUUCAGGAAACUGGGGCUAAUACCGGAUAGGAGCUCCUGCUGCAUGGUGGGGGUUGGAAAGUUUCGGCGGUUGGGGAUGGACUCGCGGCUUAUCAGCUUGUUGGUGGGGUAGUGGCUUACCAAGGCUUUGACGGGUAGCCGGCCUGUGAGGGUGAACGGCCACAAUGGGACUGAGAUACGGACCAGACGCCUACGGGAGGCAGCAGUGGGGAGUAUUGCACAAUGGGCGGAAGCCUGAUGCAGAAACGCCGCGUGCGGGAUGACGGCCUUCGGGUUGUAAACCGCUUCCGCCUGUGACGAAGCGGGAGUGACGGUAAUGGGUAAAGAAGCACCGGCUAACUACGUG
rnacentral:rRNA from 1 species